CAUCCCGGCCCCCGGUGGGAGCUGUGGUUCCUCUGAGCGUUCGCUGUCGCGCCUCCCGCGCUCUGGCUGCCCGUCAGCCCGCCGACCCCUCGCACCUUUCGCCAUUGAUACCGCAGAUCUUCGUCUGUAUCUGAACGAAGGGUAAAAACGUGUUAACGUUCAAAACGACGCCACGAAUGUCAGUGAAGAGAGUGAGGCAGGGCGAGGAAGGGAAAGGCCUCGUGCAGAAGAUUGUACAUCGUGUAUAGCUGGGAGCAUGGCGCAGCAGGGCCGUGCUGAGGAGAGGCCUGCGCUGAGCCUGCUGCUGCCUUCUGUGGCUCUGCCACACUGUGCUGCGCAGGAGCAGGGCCAUGGCAUGUCCUGGCCUGUGUGGAAUCUGCUCCUGAGACAGCGAUGUUUUCAGUGAGUAGCUCUGCCCUGCGGGCCUGGAGUUCCAGGCUGGAAGGAAGCGUGUCGUCGGUGGCCUUCGCCUCCGUGUGAGAGCAGAUCUGGCUGUGUGCUGUGCGUCUUGCUGCUGCACAUUCAAACAAUUGGUUGAAAAAAGUGCUUUGCACUUGGAACGGGAGGUUUUUAGAAUCUUCUACAAACCACGAGGCCCUUCGGAGCGAGCGCGCUUCCUGCAGUAGAUGUUUUGCUGUGAGGGCUGUGGCGACUGCGUAUUUCAAAAAGGUGCAACAGUGAGCUGUCAAAGACUGCCUUGCUUCUUCUCCAGAGCAACCAUAGACUUUACAACUGAAAUUACUGGGAAGCUGAUGGGGAUUUGUAAUACAUGUGCUAAGGCUGCUUCUUAGGAGCAGAGAAGCCCAAACAGUGCUCACAGCGAAGGCACAGCUCCGUUCCUGCUCACCCCGAUGGCCGGGCCGUGCUGCCUGCCAAGCAGCGCGCAGCCCACUGAGGGUGUUGUGUGGAGACUGCCCUAAUGUGAGGUUUCACGUUGGAACACAGAUGGUGUGGGACACGAUAAAGCUGCUUGGAAAUAUGGAUGGAAAAUAGCAUACCUUUGCUUAUCUCUGUUUGGUUAUGUGCCUAUUUACAUCUGCAUUGCAUCUGACACAAAGCAAGAAAUAUUCAAUGUCUCUGCCUAAUGCAUUAGGAAUUACUGAGGUUUUCUGGGACCACUAAUUAAUAUAGAUUCUUUAUCUGUUGAGAACGAGGAUGAAAGUGGACUUAGCAAAAAAUGCCCUGAGGUUAGUGGUUUUGCUUUGGCUCUGUAGUGGCUGCCACACAAAAAGCUUUCAACUCUUACUGUAGUUUGCCAACUCUGCUAAGAAGAAUACGAAAUUAUAUAUGAGUGUAUAUUAAUUUAAAUAUAUAUACACUUAAAUCUGGUUUUAGAGCACUUAGGGGAAGAUGGGGAUAACUCUGACCUAAUUUCUCACUGAACUGAUUAGUAGUUCUGUACGCCUCAAAGUGAGACACAUUAAAAGGUGCCAUCUUGUUAAAGUUUCAUCUCUGGUGGUCAAGUUUCUUUGAGACAGCUGUAGUUAACCACUCAAAAAUAGAUGUGGUAGCAGUCACUAAGUAAUUUCUGAACAUUUAGGUCAGUCAUUCUCUUUUCCAGUUCUUACUGUUCAGACAGGACCUGGUGCAGGUAGUUAUCUGGUUUGAACUCACCUCAGCUUCCACUGAAGUGUGAACUUUGCCAUGAAACUCCGUGGACAGAAGUUUUCUUGAAGGCUUUCUCUAUGGUUCUUGUACAAAACAGUCUGCUUCCCCUGGCCUGAGGCAGUGUCUGCAGGACGGGGAGUUUCUGUGUGGUCGGCAUUCUGAGCUGCAGCUCGCGCUCAGGUUGGUGUCCAGGCUCACAGCCUCGCUGUGCCUCCAGGUUCCCUGUGAGUCUGGAGUGGCGGCAAGGGGCACUGAGUGAAGCAUGCUGUGAUUCCUACAGAGAGGUCAGUGCAGGGCUGACCACAGAAUUGGAGCACCUAGCCGUCCCGUGAAGCUCUUGCAUUGCCAUGGUGUAACGUGCAAGCAUUAGUUUGCUUUUUGUUUUUCACUUGCACUAGGACAUAGAGAGGAGCAAAUACAGACACUGGAUUGUCAGGUUAGAUUUCAUUUGCCCAGAAUAGCCGUGUCCAUGUAAACCCAGCACGUUCCAUAAUUCCUACUAUAACUUCUCUCCCUCCCUUUUUCGUUAUGUUAACUGUGCUUGAGUCGGGGAUUUGCUCAGCUUCAACUACCCCAUUAUAAUUAAAGCAAUACAAUUUGCCUGAGACAAGCUCUUAAUGUCAUUUGCAGUGAUUACACCUGUAUUAAAAUUACAGCACUUGCUUCAAAAUAAUUGCAAAACAAAUGAGUCAACCUUUUUCAGGAUAUUGUUUCAAAUAUCUUUUCUUCAGAUACUUUCCUUCUUUUUGAUGUACUGAUAUUGCAGGACCUCUGUUCUGCCUCAUGGCUUCAUGUUCUGCUGGGAUUCCACGACUGUGCUCUGAGCAUGAGGAGCCCCCUGCGGGGUGGCAGCCGGCUGCUGUGGGUGUAAGGCCAGUCUGUCCCUGCAGUGGGGUCUGAAAGGUGACCUUGUGGGGACCCUGUUCCUUUUGGAAUGCUACUCUUAAUGGACCUUGUUCUUUGAGAUAAAGAGUUUCUAAUGAAAGGCAACUGGAGAAUUAAACCAUUUUGUAUUUUAGGGUGAAGAAGCACUGAAAAAUCAUUCUGUACUUUUACAGUAGGAUGUCCCAGAAGUACGGACUGUUGGGAUAGUCGGUCUGAUCUUCAUGUUAUUUAUUCUAGUUGUGUACCAUUGACUUAAAGGCAGUGACCACAAAUUAUUAGUUGUUAAUGUUUAGUUACGAUGGCCACUGAGAGUCAGGUUUGGUGUUCUCAACUGAAAAGUUGUUUCCUAAUGUUUAUCUUCGUUUCCAAAGCAAACUCUUAAUUUAUACGUUGAAAAGCUGUGCCUAGAUUGUUUUUUAUAUCUGAUUUUGUCAUUGGGUUUUUUGUUGCCUUCAGUAAGAAGAGAACAUUCCAAAAGAGUUGCUGUUCUGACCAUCAAUACCAAAUGUUUUGGUAUUUCCAAACAGCAGAUUUCCACCCUAUGCAAAAUGAAUUACUGUCUGUCCCUUUCGGGAAGGCUGAGAGGCUGACAGUUCAGGUUUCUGUUUGGUUUCUGUCUAGCCUUGCCUGAGACGGGCCAUCUUUGAGCUACAGUGAGGACUUUGCCAAAAUGGAAUUUUGUAUAAGACUCCAAUCAUCUAACUAGUAGAGCUGGAGGAUGAUGUUGCAGCCGCUGGUGGAAGUGCUGGGAGCUCAGCAGCUUUGCAGGCUGCCAGAUUCUGCGUGCUGGUUCUCCGUAGAAAUGACACAGUGCAGGAUGUGAGCUCAGCCAGGAGAGCUAUCAGAUUUGUACGUGAAUAACCCCAGCAAUAAUGUUGAAUCAGGCACUUACACCGUAUGCUUGAAACAAACGCGAGAUGUGAGCAAAUGCUUUCAGCGCCUUUGAGUAUUGCUGCUAUUUAUUGUGCUCAGAUUCAGCCUGUCCUUAAACAUUUCCUCAUGACAAACAAUUCUAUCUGAGUUUAUGUAUUUAGACUGAUAGUGACAUCCAGUGGUUGAUCAAUCCAACCACAGGAGUAAUAACAGUCAUAUCAAAUGGAGCAUCUAAAAUGAUGAGGCGAUGUUGAUUUAGAUCAGGCGGAGUCUGUAGCAGAUAUAUGUCACGUCAGCCUUCUAGACUUCUGUGACCAGGAGAGACUUGGCAGCUUUUGUGCUUGUUCUUUGGGGAUGAUGGCAGUGAAAUUGCACAGUAUCUGGGGGAGGAAUUGCUUUAUAUUCGCAUGUGGUGGUGGGCAGCUUUUGGCACGAAUCAACACCUGGUUUAAAAUCUUAUUGUGUUUUUUGUUGUUACUUGAGAGCUGAAUGGUAUUUUCUGCAAGUUAAAGGAGAUCUCCAUGAUGUACCACUCACGGGGCUUUGGGACAAUAAUUCUAAUAGCAGUACUGCAUUCCAGGACCUAAUCAGGAUAUUGCAGAGAAACCUCUCACAAACAGUGCAGUGUCUCCCAGAAGUCUUCUGGUAUCAAGCGUACAAAGAGUGCAAUAGAAUAAAUGGUUGCUUCCAGCAUGAACAGAACUAAUUUUAGACGGCAGUGCUUAAUGUGCCUGUCAGCGCUUCAGAACGAAUGAUUGAAGAUAAUAAUAGAUUUGUUAUAUUGUUGCUUGUGUCCAGCCUCAGAUCUGCAGGAAAUACAGUACAUACUGCUGACAACACCCAUGCAGGACCACCCUAAUGUGUUCCGAAAGAGAUUUCCCAGUGUCUGUUUAGCACGACUAAUUGCACUGUCACAGCCGUGAACGUUCCCAGUCCUGGUUACAAUUACAAGAAGCGCUGGGUAAAUGUAUUUUGACUCGAGUGUCUCCGGGUGCACUUAGCAGUGCCUGGUGAUGUAAGGCACGCUUUGCAGCGUACUUCUUUUCUGCUAAGAGACUGCCAGUAGGCUGCACGCACAGUGGGAAAUCUGCUGGUAGGACGGGCGCGGAUGUCGGCUCUCCCCUUGCUGGGUGCCGUCCAAAGAGCACCAAAGAGUUAACAGGUCUUGUAGUUAAGUGCUUAAUUAGCAACUGGAGAGUAAAGUCAGAAGAAUUUAGUUCAUUAUUUGUCGUGGAUAGAGUCCUUUUCACUUCGCCACGUAGAGUAAUACAUUGAUAUUAAGACUGAACACACUGGCGGUUCACAGGUCAAGAUUAAUCAUCAUGACCUUGGAACAUGACUCUUCAUGAAGGAAAAGCUGAGUAAGGGAAUCUGAAACGAGAGUCCAUGCUUUUAUAUAGAGCUCAGUCUGAUCAAAUGGUGAAAAUGUAAUUGAAUGGCAAAAAUAACAUUCCUUUUCAGAGGAAGAAUUAGAGCCCGUCGGGAAGAGAAGUGAGAUACGAGUAAUUUUUCAGUGCAAGUAGCAGUAAGAAUUCAUCUCCAGCAUCACUGAGGUUGUUACCAUUUUCCUUCUACUACAGCAGUCUCUCCUGUUUCAGAUGUUCAGUAUUUUGAGAAAGAUAUAAUAGCAAAAUCUAAAAUUGCUAGUUUAUUUACUGCCAAGCAGAACACAACAUUUGUUUCUGCACAACAUCUUUGUUUACAGAAACUUUUUUUUUUAAUCUACUUAAUAUGUUUCUUAGCAAAAUGGAGCAUAACAAUAAUAAUGGGUUGCUGCAGUCACACUCGCAAUGUUAAUCAGCAAAUAAAGGAGCUUAGAGGUAAGGAGUGAGUUCUCUGUGUCUGGACUGAGCUCUGUUUGGACUUCACAGGAGAAGCAAGGCGGUUAGAAAGCUGUCUGAGCUUCGUGGCUCUUAGUCCACAGAUGUAUGUGUUAAAGCUGAAGAGGAACAGCUUUGGUUUCCCUGACAGUGGCUGUUUGGUAUUUCAUUUAUGUAAAGGAGCUGUCUUUCAGGCUCACAUUUUCUUUAUGCCCAUCAGAGCAUCCCGUGCCUCUGCCCUCCUGAUCCAAUACAGCUUCCCUUCACAAGGGGAAUUCCUCACUCACUGCUUCUGGCUGAUUUAAGGUUAUUUCAUGCUGCUUCUCAGGCCUGGCACACCAGAGAUUCUUAACCUGAUAGUUCAGAUGUUUUCUAGUUGUGAAUCUGGAAACAAUUACCUUUUAGAGUUCCAUGCAUAGCACUGGCAUGACUGUGUUCUCUUUGUGUCCCUAGUGAUGCUGUUCGCUAGUGAUGCUAUUCACAUUGUUGCACUCAGUCUUUAUAAUCAUUUCAAAAUUCUCCACUGCACAGUUUAGCCAAUAUUCACCUAUUUCCACGGGUGUAGAAGCAAUUAAAAAAAAAGGCAUUUUUGCUUACUUAGUAUUUUCCCUGCUUUGCUCUGUUCUGGAUGUUAUCCAUUAAAGCUUACACAUCCCUGCAUGGAAAACACAGGACUGCUACCAUAAAGAAUAAUUCUUUUGAGCCAUAACUUUUUCCCUAUUACCUUCCAUUUUUAUGAGCAAUGCCAAGACAAGUCAGUAUGUAAACCUCAGCACAUUUGUAGUCUCUCCUUUUUGUAUCUUAAGUUGUAUUUCAUAGCUUCCAGGCCUCAUCAUUUCAUCACAGCUUUUAUCAUGUUCACCUUCUCCUUAAUUCCUGCAGGAAACUGUUUUGUUAUUUUAAAUAUUUUCUUUGCUUUAGCAGUUAUGACCCUACAGGCUCAAAGAUUUGUGGGGAUGUUACAAAAUGCAGAAGCACAACUAUUUAAAAUGUGUUGUUAUUUCAAAACUUAGCUUAAGAGAGUCUGCAUCCUGAUUCAUGGCUUUGGAAUUGCAAGACUGUAUCUCAGCUACUUGUCAUUCUCUCAUUUAUUUUAUAUUGGUGCUCCAGCCCAGAGAAGGCAGUAGGAGGAGAUGUGCUCUCCUGGUUGCUGGCAGCCCUGGAGCAUCCCAGCCAUGCUCCCUCCAGCAGCAGGCAGGAUUUGCUCGCAGGUCCCCAAGCUGCCCCAGCACGUGGUGGAGCUGGCAGCACCUGCAUUGCCAAGGAUGAUGGUCAGGGAAGUCUCAAGCACAGCUGCAUCAACUUCAAUUUCAUUUCUUAUACCUAGAACCAUGCUUUACAGCUUGCUUUGCAGUUUUUACCCUGAUGAGUACUGCUUGAACCCACACUAGUGUUCCUAUUGUCCUUGUGUAAAUCCACUUGAUCAUUUGUGUUUGUAUUAAGGCUUGUAAUAUUGUGUUUGGAAAAGAAGCACUGGCCUUUGGCCUGUGUCAUUUGCUAGGGUUCCUCUAAGCUAUCCCUCAAGCUAUUACAGGGAUAAUGGGGUGGAACAAUUUAUUAAUCUGUCAUCUCUGAGCAAAUGAGUUGCAUUUGUUUUGAAGCCUUAAUGUAGAGGUCAUAGGUUAACCAUCCUAGAAAGUGCCUUAGGCUUUUCUUUUCAGGUAUGAAUAAACUAUAGGGUCUUGCAGACUUACCAUAUAUCAAGGAAAGGAAUGGGUAAAAUCUAUAAUUACUUUCAAAACUUUGUGAAUUUUCCAUAGGGCCAACAAUUUACUGAUGUUUUCUAUGCUGCAAUGCGUUGCACCUGCAGAGCUCUGUACAGACUUUAGAGGAGAUCCAUCCAGUGCCACAGUUAGCAGGUCCACGGUGUAUAGAGAAAAGAGCUCCAGCAGGAGGGUGAACCAUAGACUUCCCUGUUUUCUGUGAAAUGCUAGCAGUAGAGAACACCAGCAAAUUGAAAUAGUAACGGUCCAGAUAGCAGAAAGCUUAAGGUAGGUCUUUCUUUCAUUUGUCUUGUGUCUCCAAAAACCAGCUAAGAUUUUGUCUUCUGACCUUCUGUCUGCUUAGCUCCCUUUUAAUCUAGAACUGCUCCUUUCCUGAUGCCUUGUGGUAGGGCUUUCAGAGAACCGCUCAGCCGGCUUUUACCUCCUGUUGCAGUGAGGUGCUGUGAGGCAGCAGCCCGCCCAGAAGAGUGGAUUCCGUGGGGAAUUAUGCUCCCUAAUGUCUGCAGAGAGUCUCAUUUGGAGAGGUGAUUAUCCUAUAAUAGCUUCUGACCACUGGACAUUUGCCAUCCCUUGGUGGUGCUGUAGGAAUCACAGUUAACGGCACAGCAAAUUAUAUGGCAGAAUUUCACAAUCUCACUCUCUCCUUAAAACCAAAUGCCUUGUGCAGCUGGAGGCUGACACACACAGCCACACGCUCAUUUGUCACAUAGUGCAAUGUAAUUCCUGCUUUCAGAUUUGCAUUUUGGAAAAUAAAUGUAAGGAUCUCCACAUUACUUGAUAUAUAAACCUGCCUGGCUCUCACAGAGCAGCCUCAGCAAGUCAGUAACGUGCCUACAGUAUUGCUUACUCUUUUUCCGUUUGUUCUCUCUGCUGUGCCUUCAGUUUUGGUGGUUGACUUCAUUGCUAGAGUUAAAUGACAAAAAGGUGGAAUAAUAAAGGCCAAAGUUUUACCUGGAAUUGAAGGGGGGGAAGUAACAAGCCUCCAACGUGAGCCUGUAAGUAAAGAAUGUCUGAGGACUCAGUGCACUGCACACAGAUUGAUUAACUCCUGUAUACUGUUGCCUGAAUAGCAUUUAAGAUAUAUAAUGCAAAUAAGUGUGUCUUAAAUGAAGAGUACUCCCCAUCACGCUUAGGGCAGAGAAAAAGUCUUAAGUUAUUGCAGACACCACUGUUGUACUGUGGUUGAAAUAUGGCUUUCGAUUAGUAAACAGAUGGAUUUUGAUCUGCAUCACGAGCCUGAAUGAAUUGGCAAUUCUUGAAGCAAUUUGUGUUCUCAGAAUCAAACUACCAAACAGUAACAGAUGUGAGUACAUUGAGCUGUCAGGAGCUUAAUGAGGUACAACUGAGAUCAGUAACCAGUUUUAGAGAAGGGUUAAGGGGAUCCCUUUUUGAAAGCUAAUUAUUUAGGACAGCACACCUGCCAUUAGGCAGAGAAGAUACCAAAAAUCAGCCAUUGUGUUGCAAGAAUUCUCACUCUGCCACAUGUGGCUGAAGUAAUAGAUAGAGCUACAGCACAAAAUUAAUUGAGCUUUCAAAUCUGGAGAAGGUGAGAGAAAAAAGUUGAUUUAGGGUUAUUACAAACAGUGGAAAUCACUAGCACAGCAUGCCUUCCAUUGCUGCAAAGCAUUUAUUUUUAAUUCUUGAAGUUAUAAAGGCGUUUGCAGAUCGCCUUCCCUGAGUCCAUCAUCACGAAGUGCUUUGUGUGGCUGCACGGGAGGAUGCACAGUUCCAGCUCUGAGCUCCUGGGCCGUGUGGCAUCGGGCCUUCUGGAGAGGCGUGUGGCUGUGGGAAGAUCUGUCCGCGAGUCAGAACUCUCCUGACAGAAAAACGGAGUUAAAAGUUGUUCCUAAGAAAACCUUGUUUCUGCUCAGUUUGCCUCCAUCGGCGUCCAUCAGACCCACGUGUCCCCAGCACCGCACGGCCCUCAGCACUUCUGUGUGCACAGUUUUAUUCACGUCCUUCUCACCGUUCUCGAUCCCCCGCUGCUGACACGUGGACUUUUAAAACACGGGUGCCUGAAGCGGCACCAUGGCUGGCUGCCAGCGACGGCAUGGAGAGAAAAACUUCCCCGGUCUCUGCGGUGGCCACAAAGGAUUCACGUUCCUGACACCAGGGCUCCUUCCCAGGAGGGUAGGUUUAUGUCACGCUGCGUUUUUACAGAAGAUGUGACUGGAUUGUAAGUCCGCCUCCUUAGGGCCUUUGUAUCAUUUAGCAUCCUACUGGUAUCUGUUUUCCACUCUGCAGGAAGCCUGCCCCAAACUGACUGUAAAUUACCAGGCAGAAGUCUUUGAUUACUCACCAAUUAUCUCUUUUCCUUUCAACACAUAAAACGCUCUAUAUGAGAUAAUUCCUGGAAAUUCAGUGUAAAUGGUAACAUUUAAAUUAGCAUGCUGGAAAGUUGGUUGCCUGUUACUUACCUUGAACAGAAAAUUUCCCCCGUGAUUCUUUCUGUUCUAUUGUUUUCCAUGUAAACACAAACCUGGUGUGAGUGCUUGAACACACGGCUUACAUUGUGCUUCUGCUGUUCCAGCGACAAAAAAAUUCUCACUGAGCUUCUUUGGACUUUAUUGAUCACUUUAGUAAGAAGAAAACUCUCAUCAUUGCAGAGAGCUUGAGAUGGAGAGAGGGCUCUCAUUUCUUACCUUAAUCUCAGUGAAACAAACUUUUGAGUGCUUUUCUUGUUUUUGUUUUUGUUUUGUUUUGUUUUCUUGGAAAAUGCUGGGAAGCAAUAAAAUAAUUGAGAUCUACUUCAGCGUGGUGCCCAGCGCUGGCAGUGCUGCUGACCCCUGGUCCUGUGCCCUACAUGAGGGCACCUGGCUCAGCUGGGUGACGAUAUCACAGAGAUCGCAUUUCUCCAUACUUUUCAGUAUUGGAGCAAACAGUAAACAGUUCUGCACUUCUAUACUUCUACAGAACGUUCCUCCAAAAACUACUGCUGAGUUUUAAUGUAUCCUGAAGUUCCCAUCUUGUAGUGAAUAGAGGACUUUUUGGCUUUUAACUCUACGUUAUUGUACUUGUUCCUUCCCAGAGGGAAGUGUCCCACAUACGGAGUCAGACACAGAAUUAGACUCUACCUUCCCCUGUGAAAACACUGCAGAGUUUCUCUUUUAUUUUGUUCUACUUUUGUUAAACCUACACAGGGAAUUUUAACUCUCAAAAAAGUUUUACUGACUCUUCCACUCCCAAACAAGAUACAUGUAUAUACAUGUAUAUACACAGAUAGGUAAGCGAUCAGCAGCUACUUCUAUUACAGUGACUGAAAGAGCUGGAGUGCAUUCCUCUGGGUGCAUCUGGACAGGCUGACCUUGUCAUAGAAAACAAGCAGUGCAGUGCUGUGCAGUGCUGUGCUGUGCAGUGCUCUGCUAUGCUGUGCUGUGCAGUGCAGUGCUGUGCAGUGCAGUGCUGUGCAGUACUCUGUUAUGCUGUGCUGUGCAGUGCAGUGCUGUGCAGUGCUCUGCUAUGCUGUGCUGUGCAGUGCAUCCCUUGGUUUGCAGAUGACAAAACUGCAGAAUGCAGGACAGGUGUUUAUUUAAAUGAAAGGCAGCUGCAAUAAUCCAACACAAACAUCAUUUGUCACCAUCUGUCAGUUGUUUGCACGCUCACAGUGUGACUACAGCACAGGAACUCGCACGCCUCAGUUCCCUGGGCUCCAGAUCUGCAGUAACCCAGCACCAACCCUGAGCAGCCUCAGAGCCGUGUCUGUGUGUCCAUGUGUCUUUGUGUCCAUACGCAUGUUAGAGUGCUUACACAUGUGCACAUGCUCUCACCAGGCAGCUGCUUUCCACAGCAGUGAGGGCCGGGGCUUUGCUCAGCUGGGGGCAAAUCAAACCGAGGUGUACUGCAGCCCUGGGGUCCAGGCGGGCCGAGCAGCAGAGCAGGAGCAGGAGCCAGCUAAGCAGAAAUAUUGGCCUACAUUUUUUUCUCCUCCUGGUGGAAGGCAUGUGAGUUUCUAUGGCAACUUGUGUUUUCUGUUCUGUCAGGCCUACUGACUCAUUUCUGGGGGAGCUGUGCAGCUAAGGAAGAUUUUUUCUAUCUUUGCCAAGCCAAGUGGCUUCUUUUCUGCAGCCCGUUGCUCUCACCCGUCUCAUUGGCAUUUGAGUCUGGCACGGCUUUUCAGAAUCACUUUAGGGCAACAACAAAUGACAAUGAAACACUACAGCAUCUUCCUGCCCUUGGAGAUCCAUUGCAAAGCAGUUGGGCCUGCCUGCUUCAGGGGAUGCCAGCCCUACGUGCAGGCCUGCAGGGGCCAGCUGUGAGGCAUGAGCUGGUGGGAGCUCUUUGAAGGGGCACAGCUGUGCCCAGCUCUGCCCCCAGCCCUCCUCCAGCCUCAGCACGCCACAUGUCCGUAGCCAGAGGCUUCUUUUUGAACCUGCCAGUCCAUUUCACCUUUAACUGAUAUGUUUGGCCGGGAGCCUUGCUCUAACAGCUACAUCCCAAAGGGUUUCCCUCACAUGGACCAGCAUCCAUUGCUAAAAUAAUUGGUUUGUGGCAUUGUGGUGACAUCUUAAUUGCCCUGGAUCAAAUGUUCCAUGGGAACGGAUCUCCCACGAUCUUACCUGAUCACUCUGGUUUUUGUAAUUGGGAAAUUGCAUGCCAUGGACGCACAGGCUGGAUUUUUCAGGAGUGUGCAGGGAUGCUGAGUAACCACUUUUCCUUGAAAUAGUGGGAUGGGGUUUGCAGGUUUGCAUCUGCUUCUCCAGGCCCUGCAGAAAAUUGCAGCUCUGACAUCCCAGAGAACGCGGUGAACGCUCUCACCACCAGCAAUUCUUUUGAAGCUUUUUCUUUUGCCUAAUCACAAACAUAUGGUACACGUUAAGGGAGAUUAUCUGCACAAAAUGCAGCCUUCCUUUAGCUUUGCAAGGUCACAGCAGCACUGCAGUUAAGCGGUAAACAGAAGGAAAACGUUCAGGCAGCAUGACCUUGGUCAAUCGGUUAAUCUUUCUCUAUUCUAUUUUCUCAAGCAAAAUAAAAAGCUAUCCCUGCAAAGUGCUCGGAGAUCCUGGGGCGAAAGGUGCACCGUAAGCCCAGAGUAUUAAUUAUUUAAGCCCUGAUUGUCCGCUUGGUACGGGAGGGAAUAGAGAUGAAUUUACUGUCUGUUGUUGUCUGUUUGUUUAGAUAUAGCUGCUGUUUGUGUUGAUUGCAGCCCUUGGCUCGCAGUACACCAGGCAGGUUGAAGGCUGCAGGCACUGUAUGUUGCUUCUCCUUUUGGUUCAUGACACUGAGAUUUAGAAGCAACAGUGAGGCGAGCAGCAACAGAAUUACUACUACUACUAUUAGUUACUACAGGGAGUACGAACAUUUAAAAAGACUCCUGUUAGCGUUUUAUGCAGAGCUCCUUAUUAAUUACACUGCAAGGGGGAGGAGGGCUAGGAUGCAGUCAGCACUGAGCGUCAUCGUGUGCUGCCAGCCUGAUGUGUGUCCUGGGAAAUGGCACCUGCGUGUGACAGGGAGAGGAAGAGGGCUCACUUCUCUUGUUCUAUCCUGUAAUGUCAGUUCUCGAGGUUUUGUGGGGAAACCUCAUCUAAAAUUGCUCACAAAUUGGAUUUUGGUUGUUAGAUUAAGCUGCGUUGCACAGUGUAAAACAUUGAUUUUUAGAUUUUAGAACGCUGAAUAAUGUAUGUGCCCAUGGCCUGCUGAACUGGAUCGUGGCAGUGGGAGUGCUGUGGCCCUUUUCGGAGCAGCCCCAGACAAUGACUGCUUUAAGACAGAGGCAAACUUUGAGUUCUCUAGCUGUCUGGUGUCUGAUUUUAAAAGGGAGAUCUUUUCUUACGUUGUUUUAUGUUACUGAGAUUUCAUUUUAUAGUGCCUCACAAUGUGAUCCUAUCAUAAGCACAAAGGAUGCUUUUUAGAGCUGUUGUCCCUUAAAACCUGCUUACCAUCAUUCUCUUUUCACAUGGCUACAUAUUAUGGGUACACAAAUGUACAAGCAUGAGCACAUGUAGACAGAAAGGGAAAAUUGUAUUUUUAUGAUCCAUGCAGACGUUAUCAUAAAUCUAAAUAAAAUCCUUUUUCAGAACUCUAGUCAAAUUGGAUUGCUUGAGCCCUUCAGAAACUUCUAUUUUCAGACACAGAUGUUGCAGAAUGUAUUUAAAAAUAAAAUAGCAUGUUGGUACUUCAG